ACCUUCUGUGGUGUAGUUGGUAGCGUCUUAGUACAGUAAUUAUGUGUCCUGGGUUCGAAUCCCAGUCGGGGUA